AAUAUUAGUAGUCUUUCGUUGUAAGUUCUUUAUGUGUAAUUUCUAUGUAAGUGAUCUGCAGCUCUUUCAUUUGCCUUUGUUUUGUAGGCAAUCAAAGAAUUAAACAUCAAAACCAAGAAUUGGAAGGAGCUCCUCACUGAUGAAACAUUCACUAGAGAAGAUCUUUUAACAAUUCAGAAUCCUAAUGCACUUGACAGCAGGGUUCUCGUGGAUUUUGAUCAUGUAAAAAAUAGUUUGAAACUCAAUGAUGAAGAUAUUGAAAGAGCUUCGAACUAAGAAGGGAAAAGAAAUUGCAUUGCAUGCGGGAGGUGGAAACAAGGCACAAAAUGAAAGAGUUGUUGCUCUUAAUGCUAUAUUAGCUGCAAGGUCACAUAUCAAAGAGGAUUCUAAAUCAGAUACCAAUGGAGAGGCUAUACCCAAAUAGACUUAUAUUAUUGCAUAUGCUUUUUCUGCUUCAAUACAUGGAAGGAGUGCUGCAGCUGCAAAGGCCGCAUCAGGUGACAAAACUGUUGCUCGGGUAACUAUGCACAUUGCUGGUAAGAGGUUUCCAGUGAAUGCCAAAAUGGUUAGUUUUUCCUGAACUAGAGAUCUCUCAUGUUCUUUAUAAAUAUUUCUAUAGUAGUUGAACCAUGACAAGCUCCCAUUGACUAUUAAGAACAUUCCAAACUCUAAAACACGGGUUUUUGUCUUGGGUAAUACAUUACCUGAUAGCUUUCCAACUCUAAUUUCUGCU